rnacentral:rRNA from 1 species
AUUGAACGCUGGCGGCAGGCUUAACACAUGCAAGUCGAGCGGGGUGAUGUAGCUUGCUACAUUACCUAGCGGCGGACGGGUGAGUAAUGCUUAGGAAUCUGCCUAUUAGUGGGGGACAACAUUCCGAAAGGAAUGCUAAUACCGCAUACGCCCUACGGGGGAAAGCAGGGGAUCUUCGGACCUUGCGCUAAUAGAUGAGCCUAAGUCAGAUUAGCUAGUUGGUGGGAAAGGCCUACCAAGGCGACGAUCUGUAGCGGGUCUGAGAGGAUGAUCCGCCACACUGGGACUGAGACACGGCCCAGACUCCUACGGGAGGCAGCAGUGGGGAAUAUUGGACAAUGGGCGAAAGCCUGAUCCAGCCAUGCCGCGUGUGUGAAGAAGGCCUUUUGGUUGUAAAGCACUUUAAGCGAGGAGGAGGCUACCGAGAUUAAUACUCUUGGAUAGUG